CCCCUAGAUGUUCUGGGCCGCACGCGCGCUACACUGAACAGUUCAACAAGUCUUAACCUUGGCCGAUAGGUCUGGGUAAUCUUUGAACGCUGGUCGUGAUGGGGAUAGACUUUUGCAAUUUUUGGUCUUCAACGAGGAAUUCCUAGUAAACGCAAGUCAUCAACUUGCAUUGAUUACGUCCCUGCCCUUUGUACACACCGCCCGUCGCACCUACCGAUUGAAUGGUCCGGUGAAGCCUCCGGAUUGGCGCGCACCUCGGUGCCGCCGAGAAGUUGGCUAAACCUUACCAUUUAGAGGAAGGUGAANUCGUANCA
rnacentral:rRNA from 1 species